CUGGACUCCUAAACCAGCCAAUAUCUGUUCUUUUCUGUUAACAGGGACUGGGUGUUCUCUUGGAGAUGAAACUCUUCCCACGUCGGAUGUGGUCUUGGUUGGAAAGGCCAAGGGAGAGAGGCAUCCGUCCCUGGGAUGUCUUCCCCUGGAACCCAAAGACUUGAACGAGGUCAGGCAAGAAUUGAAACACCUGUGAUCAGACUCGAACCUGCAGCCCGUGGAGUGUGGUCUCCGGUCGCGGCCGACCUUUCGGAGGGAAGCAAGGGCUUUGCUUCCGAGUAUGCUCAGAAACCCACCUAACCCAAGGCCACAGACCUGUUCCUGAUGUUUGCAAAGUGGACUUCAUGUCUAAACCUGGCUGCGCGGGAGAGCCAGCUGACAUGACCACCCGUGAGGCUCAGUGCUCUCUGCAUCCAGAAAUGGUAAUGACGCUGUCCAUCCAGGACCACGCAUGUCUUUCCAAUGUCCACUGAUGCCUCAGCUCCAGG
rnacentral:lncRNA from 1 species